AGAGUUGUUCAGGUGUUUUGGGACAGGUAUAGCUGUGUAGAGUGUUUCAGUGUUGGGACCGUAUAGCUGUGUAGAGUGUUCAGUGUUGGGACAGUUAUAGCUGUGUAGAGGUUCAGUGUUUGGGACAGUUAUAGCUGUGUAGCUAGGGUUCAGUGUUUGGCGACAGUAUAGCUGUGUAGAGUGUUCAGUGUUUGGGACAGGUAUAGCUUGUGUAGAGUGUUCAGUGUUUGGGACAGGUAUAGCUUGUGUAGAGUGUUCAGUGUUUGGGACAGGUAUAGCUGUGUAGAGUGUUCAGUGUGUUGGCGACAGUUAUAGCUGGUGUAGAGUGUUCAGUGUUGGGACAGGUAUAGCUGUGUUAGAGUGUUCAUGUUUGGGCAGUCUAUAGCUGUGUAAGAGGUAGAGUGUUCCGUGUUUGGGGACCGUGUAUGCUUGUGUAGAGUGUUCCAGUGUUUGGGACAGGUAUAGAUUGUGUAGAGUGUUCAGUGGUUGGGACAGGUAUGCUUGUGUAGAGUGUUCAGUGUUUGGGACAGUCUAGCUGUGUUAGAGUGUUCAGUGUUUGGGACCGGUUAUAGCUGUUGCUAGAGUGUU
rnacentral:lncRNA from 1 species